UACGGGGGGGCAAGCGUUGUUCGGAAUUACUGGGCGUAAAGGGCUUGUAGGUGGCCAACUAAGUCAGACGUGAAAUCCCUCGGCUUAACCGGGGAACUGCGUCUGAUACUGGAUGGCUCGAGUGUGGGAGAGGGAUGCGGAAUUCCUGGUGUAGCGGUGAAAUGCGCAGAUAUCAGGAGGAACACCAGCGGCGAAGGCGCUGCUCUGGGCCGGUACUGACGCUGAGGAGCGAAAGCGUGGGGAGCGAACAGG
rnacentral:rRNA from 1 species